AGGGUGAGGAGGAGGGGGAAACAGAGAGUUCCUGUUUAAUGGGCACAGAACGUCAAUUUGGAAGGAUGAAAGACUUGUGGAGAUGAAUGCUGCUGACCACUGCACAAAACUGGGAAUGAACUUAAUGCCACGGGACUAUAAACUUAAACAUGUAAGUUCAUCAGUUAUUACAGGUCUCUGUGUGAAGCUCUUCCACGUACGAUCAGGUUGUACUGAGCAAAUCCAGCAGGAGCAUGGGUCUGUGAAAAGAGCACCAGAUUUGAAGCCAAGAAACCAGAAUCCAAACAAACACCAGUCCUAUUGAGAGUAGACUCUUGAGAAAUUAAUUGACUCUUGUUGACCUUAUUCCUGUCAUCUGAAAAGUGGACCCAGUAUCUUAUACGUCACAGUAUGAUUUUAAGAGUUAAAUCUCUCAUAUAAAGGCACCUAUCACCUAACAGUACUUCAUAAAUAUUGGUUGAAUCUUUCUGUAGAGCUGUUUAAGUCAUCCUUAGAUAAUGCAAAUUGCAUUUACAACAAACCCUACUGUGUGUCUUGCUUUGCACUGGGGAUUAAACUUCUGAUAUGGGAAGCUAACAAUCUGUGUGAAAGGUAAGUAAGAAUAACACCCAAGGAUGUUAGAAAGCAAGAGAAGAUGUAAGAUAAUUAUUGCGAAGUUGAGUGGGACAGGCUCCAAAUGUCAAAGCAGUUUCACGUGAGCUUGAUCUGCAUGGGAGACUUAUAGAGGAAGAGGGACUUAGGAGGCACCAACCUUCUAGAACAACUGGGAUUCGAAUUGUCUGAAAACAGAAUAAAGGACACUAACUGUAAUAAUUAAAACACAGAACUUCUAAAAACAUAAUCUCUUUGGCCUAUCACAGUACUGACCACAAAUAUAACUUUUCUCAUUUAUGCUAGAAAGGUUUGAACAUGUCCUGCGUCCUCUAAUCAACCAUAGCUGUCCUACAAAAGAUACAAUCAUUUUCUUUCUCUUUAGAUUUCCUUUUGUCUUCUUUUGCUUUUUGUUUUUUGUCUUUUUAUGAAAAUGACACUGGGUUUGCAGACAGAUCUGAGCUUGAGUCCUGAUUCUGCCCUUGCUCAGAAGCUUUGGGAAGUGCAUUUCCCCUUCUUCAUAUAAACUUUCCUUUCUUGCCACUGCACGUGGCCUACAUAAUGUGCUGUUAUCACUAAAUUGGCUGGGACUCCUGAGCUUCCAUCUGUGAAGUUAGCUAAUUCAUCAUGAUUGUCAUAUUCCUUAAAAGCAAUAAGGUCCUGACCCUUAGAUGAUAAGAGAUACAUUAACCAUUUUUUGUUUGAUUUAUCAAAAUCAUUGGAUGAAUUUAUUUCAUUCUGCUGGAAUUGCUUUGUGUGUGAGAGAGAGUUAUGGGGCAAAUGAUUAAAAAGGAGGUCAAGGACAAGAUUGCAAUUUAGUAAAUUUUACCAUGAUUGGUGAUUGCUAGUAAUAUUUUGAAAACAUUUUCCAGCCCCAAAAUCAUAUGGUAUGUGGCCAAAUGUUUAACUAUAAUUCAACCUUCACAGAAAACACAUAUAUAAUUUCAAAAAUCAAUAAUCAAUAAGAGUAAAACAAGACAAAUGGUAAAAACAAAAAAUUCAAAUUUACUAAUGAAGAAAUAAAUGAAAUAAUUAUUUUGCCCAUUGAAUUGACAAAAGUGUAAAAAAGUGAUGAUAACUAGUCCCAGCAUAAUUGUGGGACAGAUGAUAUUUCACCAUCAUUAGUAAAAGACAAAUUGUUAAAAGUUUCUGAAGGGCAAUCAAGCAAAAUUCUCAUUAAUGUGCAUAUCUUUGAACCAGCAAUCUCACUUUACAAAACUUGUUCUAAAUAAAUAAGUUGAAAAAUACUCAAAGAUAUAUGUCCAUGGAUGUUUGUUUAUAGCAGUUUUUAUAUUAAUAAAACAUUUUAAUAAAUUAAAUAUUCACCAGUAGAAAAUAGACUACAUAUACAAAUACCACCUGUAUAUGGAAUGAUGCAUUGUGUAGUCUUUACAAAUGAUAAGUGUAGGCCUAGCACAGUGGUUCACACGUCUAAUCCCAACACUUUGGGAGGCCGAGGUGGGCCAAUGACCUGAGGUCUCAAGUUUGAGACCAGCCUGGCCAACAUGGUGAAACCCCAUCUCUACUAAAAAUACAAAAAAUUAGCCAGGUAUGAAGGCAGGCACCUAUAAUCUCAGCUACUUGGAAGGCUGAGGCAGGAGAAUUGCUUGAACUCAGGAGGCGGAAGGUGCAGUGAGCCAAGAUCUCAUCAUUUUACCCCAGCCUGGGCAACAAGAAUGAAACUCCAUUUCAAAAAAAAAAAAAAAUUAAAAAUUAAGUGUGCACUUGCUUUUUGUCAUGGAAAACUUUCACAAUAUAUUAUGUUGUAAUGUUGCAGUUUUCUUAACUCCUGAGUGUUUAUAUUUUUCCUCCUUUACAACUUAUUAAAGAGAAGGUUGUCCUUGCCUGCUCAAUUCCCCACCACCCCUUUCAGUCCUCAACAGAGCACUCUUGACUUUCCCAGCAAGGUCCCUUAACUUUGGUGACACAGACUCGAGAAUGGUAAACUAAUAAAGGAUAUUAGACCACAGACGUAAAGUAAGACGGGGGAAUACUUAGCAGAGAAGGCAAGUUGCUCUACAUAAAAAGAUGGAAAGUGGAAUGGGAC
rnacentral:lncRNA from 1 species